rnacentral:lncRNA from 7 species
UGCAUCCAUGCACGCACACCGUCGCUGUCGCCGACCGGUCGUCGAUGGAGACGCAACGCGGCUGUCGUCCCCGGCCGGCCGGGCGCGGGGGACAGCAGAACUGCAGGAGGGCAGGCGCGGCGUGGAGGUGAGCAGUCAUGCAUGAAGGCCUCGCGGCGCGUAGCACUGCACGGCCGGCGUUCAAUUCGCGAGUCACGACGACGACUCACGUACGGAAGGUCUCGCGCGGCACCACCCCAGUACGCACGUACGAAAGGUCUGCCGCCGUGCUGUCCGGCGGUAGGAGCCCAGGACGGGCUUGCCAACGACCGCGCGCCGUGACGGGUCGGGGCACGGGCACGGGCACGGGCACGGGGUCACCGCUCUCCGGCUAUUGAUUGGCCGCUACCCGGGCUGCUACGGCGGGAUGGUGUAUGGAACCGUGGUCGAGUUCGACUUGACUGCGUGCGUGGGUGCCGUGUCGCGUGGCGGGCGUAGGGUCGUAUUUUUGUAAUCGAUCGCUGGUGCGUGCGCGCGUAUCCGUAUGUACUUGGCCUCCC